rnacentral:rRNA from 1 species
UACGGGGGGGGCGAGCGUUGUUCGGAAUCAUUGGGCGUAAAGGGUGCGUAGGUGGUGCUGUAAGUCUGACGUGAAAUCUCUGGGCUUAACCCAGAAUCCGCGCCAGGAACUGCAGUGCUGGAGUGUGGGAGAGGAGAGUGGAAUUCCCGGUGUAGCGGUGAAAUGCGUAGAUAUCGAGAGGAACACCUGCGGCGAAGGCGGGUUGCUGGGCUGACACUGACGCUGAGGCGCGAAAGCUAGGGGAGCGAACGGG